UAUGAAUAAAAUUUGNAAUCUGGCGCCUUCGGUGUCCGAGUUGUAAUUUGAAGAUUGUAACCUUGGGGUUGGCUCUUGUCUAUGUUUCUUGGAACAGGACGUCACAGAGGGUGAGAAUCCCGUGCGAUGAGAUGCCCAAUUCUAUGUAAGGUGCUUUCGAAGAGUCGAGUUGUUUGGGAAUGCAGCUCUAAGUGGGUGGUAAAUUCCAUCUAAAGCUAAAUAUUGGCGAGAGACCGAUAGCGAACAAGUACAGUGAUGGAAAGAUGAAAAGAACUUUGAAAAGAGAGUGAAAAAGUACGUGAAAUUGUUGAAAGGGAAGGGUUUGAGAUCAGACUCGAUAUUUUGUGAGCCUUGCCUUCGUGGCGGGGUGACCCGCAGCUUAUCGGGCCAGCAUCGGUUUGGGCGGUAGGAUAAUGGCGUAGGAAUGUGACUUUACUUCGGUGAAGUGUUAUAGCCUGCGUUGAUGCUGCCUGCCUAGACCGAGGACUGCGAUUUUAUCAAGGAUGCUGGCAUAAUGAUCCCAAACC
rnacentral:rRNA from 1 species